CUUUAAUUCACCCAUUGUACCAAUGCUUUAUUAUCAAGUCACAUAUUGCUAUCCCAUUCUUUGCAGAGCAUUAAAACUGCUGUGAGUCUAUCAGUAAAUCAGUAUUCAAGGUAGCUUUUUAGUUUCUUCACAACUACAUAUAAACAGAUACAAUGUUUAGCUUGUUGACUAAACGCACAAGCCUGCAGAAAUGCAGAGUGAACAAAGACACAAGUCAAACAUUCCUGAGCAUAAAAAAGCUGGGGAUUUAUUACACUUUAGUGUAGUUUAAUCCAUAAAAAACUCACAAAUUACAGCGCGCCGUCCCCGCAGCGGCACCGAGCACUCUACAGACACAUUCUUUGAGGUGGAGAUGAACCGAACAACCCGGUUAAAAGGAUCUGAGCCGCUCUCUGAAAAAUGCACCGCAGCAUCUCUGAUUUUCGUCUUCUGCGAGGAGGACGGAGAUAAAAGGGAUGGGAACGCUCAGACGGGUUCUUGGCCCGAUCACAGAGACCCGUUCUCUCCCGGCUCCUGUCAGAACAGGCUACUGUCAUGGCAGAUUAGGUAAAGCCACUGGAGGCAUUCUCAACGCUGACGCGACCCGACAUGGCUGCGCUGAGGAGAUUUAUACAUUUAUUUAAGGUGAAACUGUGUUAGGUUUGAGAUUAGUUGGCAUCCGCUACUCGCGAACAGGGGAUACAACAAAUGUCAGGACCAAAACAAGCACACAGCCGGCGGCUCUAUCGGCCUACAGGACAUGUCGGACACGGUGGCCGAGGCCAGUAACGCCCCACGUGGGCAAAAAGACAGAACUUGUUAAACAUGAAAAUGUGUUUUGAAACAAAACACCCAGAGGAGAAAAAACGGGUAGUUUUCAAACCAUCAGCGGAAGAGGAACAUAAUAACUUCAUAAUAGAAAACUUCUAUAGAACUUACAUAGAGAAUCAGUACAGUUACAUAAAACAGAUCUAUGACUAACAGGUCUAUCCCAGUAACAGGUCUAUCACAGUUACAGGUCUACACAGUAACAGGUCUAUCACAGUAACAGGUCUAUCACAGUAACAGGUCUAUGACUAACAGGUCUAUCACAGUAACAGGUCUAUCACAAUAACAGGUCUAUCACAGUAACAGGUCUAUGGAACUAACAGGUCUAUCACAGUAACAGGUCUAUGACUAACAGGUCUAUCACAAUAACAGGUCUAUCGCAGUAACAGGUUUAUCCCAGUAACAGGUCUAUGGAACUAACAGGUCUAUCACAGUAACAGGUCUAUCACAGUAACAGGUCUAUCACAGUAACAGGUCUAUCACAGUAACAGGUCUAUCACAGUAACAGGUCUAUCACAGUAACAGGUCUAUCACAGUAACAGGUCUAUCACAGUAACAGAUCUAUCACAGUAACAGGUCUAUGGAACUAACAGGGCCAUCACAGUAACAGGUAUAUCACAGUAACAGGUCUACAGAAAUAACAGGUCUACCACAUUAACAGGUCUAUAACUAAAAGGUCUAUGACAUGGA